rnacentral:lncRNA from 1 species
AGCUUCCGGUUCCUUUUGCGGUGAUUGCUACGGUAACGCGGCCGGUAGUCCUGCGAUGGCGUGCACCAGAGAGGAGGUGGCCUUCCAUGCCUCACCGGCUGAGGCCAGCCGCGAACCUGGCGUGUCCUGGUCUGCCCGGGGCUCCAGCCUCCGACCCGCCAUGCACAUGGACAUCCAAGCCGUGUCCUGCGGCCUCCCGUGGGAUUCUUCCUCCAGAAUGAGGUUUUUUUUUUUUUUAGCAUAAAACUAUAAGUAUUGUGUAUGUAUGAUCUGCGUGCAUGCAUCUUCAGAAGACGACUUUUAUAAAGGGUCCGGGGAUGGAACUCUAGCUUGCAGGGUAAGUCCCUUGGCACGCUGAGCCCUCUCCCUGGCCUCUAGAAUGAUGCUCUUCUCGUAGAAACGUGUAAAGUGCUCUAGCCGUGGGACGGCUGGCUUUGGGGUCUCGGUGACUACUGGGGUCGGGAAGGAUUGAAAGAACAAGGGAAUUGGUGGGUUGCCGGGCCCUGUGGCCAUUGUCUGCAACGUUGCCUUGCCUCUUAAGAGGCUGAGGCAGGAGGAUCAGUUGAACUCAGGAGUUCUAAAUAAGCCCGAGUCAGCCCGGGCCGUACAGCAGGACCCUUUUUAAGAGGGAAAACGGAGGGUGAGGAUGUAGCUCAGUAGGAAGUCGUUUUCCUAGUGUAAGCGACGUCCAGAGUUCCACCCCGUCACAUGCACACAGACAGUAAUAAAAGAGAGUAUUCUCUUAGUGAAUUCCGGUGUAGAUGAUGAUGGCCCCAGGGUAGAGUGCUUGCUUGCACAUCUGCUGGGGAUGGUGCAGAAGAGUGGGCAGGCGCGUCGUUUUUUUACAUGGACUUCCCCCUAGAACAGAGCCCCGGGUGUGGUCAGUUCUCCCGCCGGUAGUACGCAGAUCCAGAUCCUGGCCAGCAGGCCUCCGCAGCCCACUAUCUAAUCUGCAGUCUUGGCCCUGCGCUGGGUUAGCGGUACCCUAGAGCACACCAGACUUGCAGAGAAAGCAGACAACAGAGGAAGCUGAGGCAUGCCUGCUCGAGAGGCAGCAGGCCCAUGUGCAAUUUUCCUCUGAUAGGGCCUGGGUACUGUUGCCACGGUGAUAAUGGCUGUGCCGUGUCAUUGUCGAUCCACCAACAGUCAGAGAAGCUUGGCAGUCAAGAUAUUGUUUAGCAGACGGAGCGGUUUCUGUUGGACACUAAGUACUGCCACAAAACCUCGAGCGACUAAGCGUGUUGCCGGAGGUGGUCUGUUUGCACCCGGGGAGUGAAUGUAAAAAAUCAGAGUUCACACAGAGUGAGCCAUGGGAUGUGCUAAGCUGUGGCUCAGAGGGAAACCGGAGCCACUCGCUCUGAAGACAGAUGGGAACCAACCGCCUGGCGGGUUCCUUGUCAUUGUAUUGAUUCCUGGUUUUUUUAUUUUUUUCUGAUGGCAAGCCCCAAACUAAAAUCUUGUUAUUUUGCAGAUCCUCUGAUUCCAGGUACCAUACAAAGAUGUUUACAAGAAAUGCAGAGGUAAAACAGCUGCUCCGAAAGCCAACCUUUUGUGUCCUUAACGGCAGAGUGUCAGUUAAAUCGCCCCAGCGCCCGGAAGCUUUUAUUCAUGUUUACACUGCUGUGAGUAGUUAUAAAUAAAUAAACCAAUAAAUAAAUGCUGGCAGUUUGCUUCUGGGAA